rnacentral:rRNA from 1 species
CUACGGGAGGCAGCAGUCGAGAAUAGUCUACAAUGGACGGAAGUCUGAUAGUGCGACGCCGCGUGAACGAAGAAUCCCUUCGGGGUGUAAAGUUCUUUUAUACGUGAGCAGUGCCCUUUAUAUGAAGUAGUAUAGAGGAGGGAUUAAGCAGUAGAUAGCACGUCCC